UCGAUGUAACAAUUCAGAUGGGGGGCUGAGGUGGUGGGACAAUGGAAAGAAAGGAAUUAAAGAUGGUCAAGAUCUUUUGUGUUCUGGCUUGGUGUGUGUUUUUUUUUUUUGUUUUGUUUUCAAUUUUUUAUUCAAGUAUAAUUAACAAAUCCUAUUAUAUUAGUUUCAGAUCUAUAAUUAUAAUGAUUCAACAAUUCUAUACAUGACUCAAUGCUCAGAGGUGACCAAGAGCUUAAGCUUAAGUGACUUGGGAGAAGAUGUGCUUCAUGCAAAUGUGGAAACAAGGAAGUAGAGCCCGUUUAAAGCAGGGACACCACAGACUCUGGAUCUACUAUUACGUCUUGUCGUCCUCCAGAUGUACACUUUUACGUAAGGCUGGCAGUUACCUCCAAGCUUCUAGAAGUCUGCAGCCUGGAAAGUCAUUACCGGGACUAGUCGUAAAAGCUAAUGUGGGUGCUUAUUACUGAGCCGUUGGGUCUAUUUUGGAGAACUCGGAGAAUAAAAAGAUUAGCUGCCUUCAA